GGGGAAUAUUGGACAAUGGGCGAAAGCCUGAUCCAGCAAUGCCGCGUGAGUGAUGAAGGCCUUAGGGUUGUAAAGCUCUUUUACCCGGGAUGAUAAUGACAGUACCGGGAGAAUAAGCCCCGGCUAACUCUGUGCCAGCAGCCGCGGUAAUACAGAGGGUGCAAGCGUUAAUCGGAAUUACUGGGCGUAAAGGGCGCGUAGGCGGUUCGUUAAGUCCUGUGUGAAAUCCCCCGGCUCAACUGGGGAACUGCACAGGAAACUAGCGGGCUUGAGUUCGGGAGAGGGAAGCGGAAUUCCGGGUGUAGCGGUGAAAUGCGUAGAUAUCCGGAGGAACACCGGUGGCGAAAGCGGCUUCCUGGACCGACACUGACGCUGAGGCGCGAAAGCUAGGGGAGCAAA
rnacentral:rRNA from 1 species